rnacentral:lncRNA from 1 species
UGAGAAAAAGAGAAUGGCGAUGCUGCUGUGGUUGCACUAGUCGGAUAGCAUUAGGUGAGGAAGCGCAGUCUGUAUGAAUCCAGAAACCACAAGCAGUGCACAGAUACGACGGAGACGAUAGCCCUUCAUGUUGCGUUCCACACGCGCUGCAUCUGAAGGCAGCCCGGCCCCUUAUAACCGCUGUCAACCUGUGCUCGUGGCUCCUGUGCAAGAUUUUGAUCUGCAAACUACACAACAAGUCGAGUCGAAAAUCACAAGAAGGAUCAAGACAUUGAUAGAACAUACUCCCGCAUGUUUUACUACAUUCACGGCAAGAUUGUGAUGAUGAUGAAUCCCAGUUUUCCUUGAGCAUGAGGGGCGCGCCGGGGUGAAACGCAUUAUCCAUCAAUUUCUUGGGGAGAUUAGCGCAUUGAUCGUGCAGGAGCACUUGACCGUGUCUGGUGUUGAUUGUGGUGAAGGGCGUGGAGAAGAUUGGGAGCGUACAAGCACUGCACAUCCAAGAAUUUCCAUCAUCUGGAUCUAUGCCGUUUUCUUCAAUACUCAUUCUAGUGUGAUCUCUAAAUGUGUUACGCCAUAAACGCAUUUUGUCUCUUCUACACAAACACAGAGUAUAACCAAUAUGAUUACUAUAAUUUUGAUAUGGUGAUAUACUACCAAAACCACAACCCAAGAUAAGAAUAAUAAAGUAAUUCACUUCUUAAUUUAUCAUUUUCAUCCAUCUAAAAAAGGAAUACCUAAACCUCAGCGCAAGAUAAGAAUGAAGUAGCAUAAUUUCCCAAGCACUAAUAAUGAGGUAUACAAAGGUGUGCUACCGAAACCCCAGCGCGAGAUAAGAAUAAAGUAGAUAUAUAAUUCCCCAAACAGACAAACACGAAUCUAUACCUAUCAUAAAAGAGCCUUGUUUUACAAAAUUUGAUUUGCCUAUUAUAUCCCUCAUAUAUACUUAGUUUAAGGUUAAUUGUAUAAUUUAAUAUAUUAUACAUAUAAUAAAUCUAAAAAUGCAUUAUAUUUUACGUUAUAUAUUUUAAUAAUUAUUUAAGUAAUACUAUUCAUUAGAACUCUUCAUCCACAUCCAUUACAAUUUUUUAUUUAAUAAAUUUAUAAUUACAUUACGAAUGAUUUAGUUAUUAAUUUUAUUAGAAGUUUAAUUUUGCUAGAACCUUUGGAAUUAUAAUUAAUUAUGCAAAGAUUAAAUAAAAUAAUUUUAUAUUAAUUUUUUUCAAUAUUAUGAGUAUUAAUCAUAAUUUUCAAACAUGGUCCAAUAAUUGGUUCAGAAAAUAUAUUAAAAUUAUAAAUGUUACUAUAAAACAAAUUAAAUUAAAUUAAAUAUAUAAAUUUACGCUCAUAAAGUAGUUAUUAAGAUAGUUCCUUUUAACGUGCGAAUGCACGUCAUUUCCGCUAGUAAUUAUAAAAGGGCAUUGUUUUACAAAAUUUGAUUUGUCUCUUAUAUCCUCAUAUAUUAUUCUCAAUUUAAGGUCAAUCGUGUAAUUUAAUAUAUUAUAUAUAUAAUAAAUCUAAAAAUAUAUUAUGAUUUAUGCUUAUAUUUUAAUAAUUAUUUAAAUAGUAGUAUCCAUUAAAACUCUACAUUCAUUAUUUUUUAUUCUAUUAAUUAAAAAAUUUAGUAUUACAAUAUAAAGAUUUGUUUAAUAAUUUUAUUGGAAAUUUAUAUCAAUCUUCUCUUUUUGGACUUUUUUUUUUCUUUCUAACGGUGAAAAUAUUAGUUUAUGCUUAAUUAGUUAAUUAAAAUUAUUCCAAUCAGUAAUUACAUUGAAGGUUUGAGUCAAUCAGUUUACAUAUAUGAGUGUGAUGUAACUCAUAAUUUUUUUUUUACUUCUUAACUUAUAAUUUACAUAAAUAACAUUAGCAUAUUAUCCUUGUUUUUUUUGAAGAACACUGAAUAUAUGUACAGUGAUCAUUGAUUUUUCUACAAAACUGACACCAUAGAAACAUUAAAAACUAUAGAAAAAGUGAGUGCUUUAUAAUUUUGAAGUUGAGGGAGGGGGGGAAGAGUAGCGUGGAUAUGGAAGAGGGGCCCGGGAUAACUCUUCCUAGUGCGAGCUAAUUGCUAAAAUUAAUUAAUUGGAAUUUUGGUGACACCUAAAGCCCGUCGCUGAUGUGGUCGUGCCAUGUCGUCUUUUUGGUAAAUUUUUUUUAACUUUUUUGUAUUAUCGACUUUUUAGCACAUUUUAGCCUAAUAUAAAUAUUUAAUUUAAAAUUUAUUUAUUUUUAGUUAGAAUUUUCUAAUUAGAACUGAUUAAUUAAUUUAACUAAAACAUAAAUAAAUAAAUAAAUAAAUAAGAAGAGGAGGAGCACUAUGUUGAAAUAAGAAUAUUAUUUGUACGAAUUUCUUUGUAUUAUUCUUGAGACAAUUUAACAUAAUUGAUGUGUUAAAUAAUUUAAUUUUUUAUAAAUAUGGAGUGUAAAACAUAUUUUUAAAAAAGAAGUAAUUUUUAAAAAAUGGGAAAAUUAUUGUUUUUAUUUAUUUUAGGCUCAAAUGUGCUAAAAAAAUAGAUAAUACAAAAAAGGAAGAAAAUUUGCCAAAAAGGUGACAUGGCACGACGCGCCAAGUUAGCAAUGGGCUUUAGGUACGGUGUCACUAAAAGCCCAAAUAAUUGAUUUUGGGUCCGAAAUAUGAGUGUAAAAAUAAAACUAUAGUCCUCAUUCUGAAAUACCGAAAGCUACAGUCAUGUUUUAACAAUUAGCUCUCCCAGGGCUCAUCCACUGAAAUCUAUCCAUGUAAAAUUUUGAUUUUGAUCUGAUAUCGAUCACCUUGCAAAUUUGGAUAUGUAAGAAGUAAACAGAACCUGCUUCAUAUUAUGAUUCACAUAUAUAAAAGAAAACAUAAUUUGUUAUUGCUUCAUAAGUUGUAUAAAAAUUAUUCUGAUACAUCAUUGUGUGUAAUGAGUUGUAAAAUUAUUCUGAUACAUCAACACCUGAAUACAGUAAACUUGCAACUAAAUUUAUUACAACAAUUAGACGGUGUGGUUUCUAUUUUCUCAUGCAAUCAUAUUUAUGUCACGCAAGCAUAUUCAUGUCCAACGAAUCGGUGUGCAAAAUGAGAAUUUAUCAAAAGUUAAAAUAAUUUAUGUCAAAUUAACCCGGUCAUUUUUUGUAAGUUUCUUGCUUUGAUGAAGACCGUAUUUUCUUUAUUAUUUCCUUCAUAUUGAAUUCAUGAGGUCAUAAAGUCAAGAAUUUAAUUUAAUCAAUUACGUGUUUGAUUGAGUCAAGAAGAUCAAAACGUUCUAGCUAGUUGCUGUUUGAAGAUAGGUAUAAUUGAUAGAUUAGAUUCUGAGUUUUUUCGUGGCUUGUUUGGCUAGGCAAUCUGUUGCUUGCUUGGCUUCUCCCUUUCUCGUCCUUUGCCUUUUUCUUAUUGUCUGUAAUAUACUAAUACUCUUUUUUUUCUCUUUCGCGGUUUUUUUUUUCUCCAUUUAAUUUUUUCUAAAAAGGUUUUGAUGAGACUCGGGCUUAGAUAGCAUUCGUUGGGCAGACAUGGGUUCUUAGAUUUUUUUCUUUACUUUUUUCUCUAAUAAAUCCCCACUUUAUAUAAUAAAUAAUUGACAGAUUAAUUAGAGUUUUAGUUCUUAAAUGUUGACACCUUAUACGGAUGAUAAAAUGCUUUCAUUCCAAUUAGUAAUUGAAGGUUUGAGUCAACCAGUAUACAUAUAUGAGUGUGAGUUGUAAAUUAUAUUAAAAUAAUUUUUAACUUCUUUACUUAUAAUUUACCUAAAUAAAUAACAUUAGUAUGUUAUACUUAAUUAAUUUAUUUAUCUUUUUUUGAAGGACACUGAAUAUAUGUAAAUUGAUAAUUGAUUUUUUUGUAUAAAAUUGACGUCAUAAGAACAAUUAAAAUUAUAGGAAAAUGAGUGUUAUCACCGCAUUGAUCUAGUGCUUCUGAGUUUGAAGUUCAGGGAGGGAAAUCCAAUUGGAUUUUCUCAAUUGAUUUCUUUCUCAAUUGAGAAAUCAUAGGCAUCGACGGGAAAUCCAAUUGUAUUUCUCAAUUGAUUUCUCCAUGUAAAAUUUUGAUCAUUUUGAGUUGAUCACCUCGCAAAUUUGGAUAUGUAAGAAGUAAACUAACAGAACCUGCUUCAUAUAAUGAUUCACAUAUAUAAAGGAAAACAUAAUUUGUAACGUUUCAUAUAUAAAAGAACAAGCUGUAUACACAUUAUUCUGAUACAUCACUGUCUGUAAUGAGAGGCUGCAUCAACACCUGAAUACAAUAAACUUGCAACUAAAAUGUGGAUAUGAAGAAACUUGUUAUUUCUUUGAAACAGCUAAAGUUUAUCACGGAAUCUCAGACAUGGCGCAGGUCUCAUGUAUCUUAUAACAACACUUGGAGCAUUCAUAGCCGAUGUUCAUUCCUUUUCUCAUACCUGAUGAAUUGACUUCAAUCAGUCGCAGUACCUGCAAGUGUACUCUCUCGACACCAGUGAGGGGGCAGUCAUGGCAUUUGAAACCAACACUACCCCAAACUUGACCCUAGAAAACGACGAUCAGAAAGGGAAUGUAGUUGAUGUGAAGCCACUGCUCGCAGUCGUUGCAGCUGUAGUUCCAGCACCUUUUAUCGAUAUCCUCUUCACAAACCUCACAAAUUUGUUGGGUAUCAUCAUCAUCAUCAUCGGUGGUUAACUUAGUUGAGGUGGUUAGGUUGAGAGGGUGUGCAUCAAAUUUGUGGCUAAUGGUAGUGGGAAGCAAAGCGCAGCGAGCAUGUAGUUUUAGAUGACGACAAUUGCUGCACUUAUAGAACAUUCUAUUUGCAAAGUCGUUGCAGCAGCUACACGUGCCUGAGUAACGCGACAUGUAAAGAAUGUGCGUCUUCCCGUGAGAGGCGUGGGUGAUUGAGGCAGGCAUUAGUGCGCACAAAACAUCCAUGCUGACGUCUUUGCAAGUUUUGCAGCAGUAGGCGAAUCCAGAGCACAGCAUCCAGCAACCAUGGCAGAAGAAGCCUUCAUCAUAAUUUUUUCUGGGUGCUUUUGUGAAGAGGGAAAGGGUGUGGUCUGGAUGAAAGGGGUGCUUGAUUUUGGGUGGAAGAUUGAAACAAGAGUCGUGGAGAAGAAAAUCCGGACAUUGGGAACAGCUGUAGAAUGGAGGGGAAAUGAACUGAACACACGCAUUGCAUACACGGGAUGAAGAAUGCCCUGUGCCAUCAUCGUCGUCUUCAUCAUCAGCUUCACCACUAUCCUCUUCAUCAUGAAAGAUCGACGGAUGUUUAUGUAAUCUUUGAUCAUAUCCGUAUUUGGGAUUACCAACCUCCUCCUCCUCAUAGUCAUAAUCACCAUAUUCUUCUUUAUGAUGACGAAAGAUUACUGGAAGUUGAUGUCCAUCUACGGAAUCAGCAUCCUCAUAUUCUCCAGCAGCAUCAGUAUUCUCCAACAUAUAGCGCACGAUGCUUGUGCGUUCAUCUGGCAUCGGAAGAUGGAGCAGGUUGGCCAGCUUUGCAUCUCGAAUUAACACUGCAAAUUAAAACAUCAGUUUGAUUAAUAUAAUGAAUUAAUCACACACAUAUACAUAGGUUAUUUUUCCAACCUGACUCAAAACAGCGAGGAUCCGAUGUUGCACACCUAAUAUGAGCAAAAUAGCUACACUUGAAACAGAAAUAAGCACCCACGCUAUACAACAAGAUCCUUUCUCCACAGAAUGCACAUUUGCAAUCUCGAUCAUGAAAAGCAUGCAUAAUAUUAUAGGUGAGAAAAAGAGAAUGCUGAUGCUGCGGCCGUUGCACUAGUCGGAUAGCAUUAGGUGAGGAAGCGCAAUCUUUAUGAAUCCAGAAACCACAAGGAGUGCACAGAUACGACGGAGACAAUAGGCCUUCAUGUUGCGUUCCACACGCGCUGCAUCUGAAGGCAGCCGGGCCCCUUAUAACCGCUGUCAACCUGUGCUCGUGGCUCCUGUGCAAGAUUUUGAUCUGCAAACUGCACAACACGUCGAGUUGAACAUCACAAGAAAAAUCAAGACAUUGAUAGAACAUACUCCCGCAUUUUUCACUACAUCCAUCGCAAAAUUCUGUUGAUGGUGAAUCCCAGUUUUCCUUGAGCACGAGGGGCCCGCCGGGGUGAAACGCAUUAUCCAUCAAAAUCUUGGGGAGAUUAGCGCAUUGAUCGUGCAGGAGUGCUUGACCGUGUUUGGUGUUGAUUCUGUUGAAGGGCGUGGAGAAGAUUGGGAGCGUACAAGCACUGCACAUCCAAGAAUUUCCAUCGUCUGGAUCAACGCCGUUUUCUUCACUCCUUAUUUUAGUGUGAGACGACAACACGAAUUUAAAACUUCGUAUCAU